rnacentral:rRNA from 1 species
AUUGAACGCUGGCGGCACGCUUAACACAUGCAAGUCGAACGGCAGCACGGGGAGUUUACUCCUGGGUGGCGAGUGGCGAACGGGUGAGUAACGCGUAGGGAUCUGCCUGUUAGAGGGGGAUAAGCCGGGGAAACUCGGACUAAUACCGCAUACGCUCUGAGGAGGAAAGGACGGGACCUGGAAACGGGCCGUGCGCUAACAGAUGAACCUGCGUUAGAUUAGCUAGUUGGUAGGGUAAAGGCCUACCAAGGCGACGAUCUAUAGCUGGUCUGAGAGGAUGACCAGCCACACUGGAACUGAGAUACGGACCAGACUCCUACGGGAGGCUG